CGAGCUCCUCCUCUGAGCUCCAGGAUUUAAGGCCAGUCAGUUUCUAAGCCAGCAGGCACCAUGGACAGGAAGCUGCUGCUGUUGGUCCUCCUGAGUCUGCUCCUCUGCUCUGCAGCUUCUGCUCCUGCACCCGCGCCACAAGAAGCGGUCGAGGUGCCGGGGAGUGUGAUCAACCAAUUUCAAAAGAUGAAGCCAGAGAAACCUUGUCCAAUCAACGCCCCACCAGGGUCAUGUGGACCACUAAAUAAGCGGUGAGCUGCAGCAUCACGACCCUCAACUCUCACCAAGCCACUUCAGGGACGACAGACGAAGUCAUCUUUGCUUCCAGAAUCAUCAUAAAAAAAGUGUUUUCUAUUUCACACACAAACAUCCGAGGCUUAUUGAAUGACUAAUAAAUCCUGCUCCAUGAUA